CCUGCAAAGGUAGAUCUUUAGUUCCUUGUCUUUGGACAUGUGAGAACUAGCAGAAAAGAAAUAUGGAAUUGGAGAAGUCUAGGGUCAGCUUACUCCCCGCUGGCUCAGGAUCGAUCCCCGCUGGCUCAGGAUCGAUCAUCCCACACCG
ensembl:snoRNA SNORA38B small nucleolar RNA, H/ACA box 38B